ACGAAUGGUCUUGGUACCUUCAAAACCCCUCAAACCAGUGGACAUGAAAAAUGUGCUUCGGCGCUCCGGCGCCGCUUUUAUGCUGUAAUUCUGCCUUUUGUGUCUGAAUGCAAAGCAAAGAAUCA
rnacentral:misc_RNA from 1 species